rnacentral:rRNA from 1 species
GGCCUAUCAGCUUGUUGGUGAGGUAAUGGCUCACCAAUGCGACCACGGGUAGCCGGCCUGAGAGGGUGACCGGCCACACUGGGACUGAGACACGGCCCAGACUCCUACGGGAGGCAGCAGUGGGGAAUAUUGCACGAUGGGCGCAAGCCUGAUACAGCGACGCCGCGUGAGGGAUGACGGCCUUCGGGUUGUAAACCUCUUUCAGUAGGGAAGAAGCCUUCGGGUGACGGUACCUGCAGAAGAAGCGCCGGCUAACUACGUGCCAGCAGCCGCGGUAAUACGUAGGGCGCGAGCGUUAUCCGGAAUUAUUGGGCGUAAAGAGCUCGUAGGCGGUUUGUCGCGUCUGCUGUGAAAGCCCGGGGCUUAACCCCGGGUCUGCAGUGGGUACGGGCAGACUAGAGUGCAGUAGGGGAGACUGGAAUUCCUGGUGUAGCGGUGGAAUGCGCAGAUAUCAGGAGGAACACCGGUGGCGAAGGCGGGUCUCUGGGCUGUAACUGACGCUGAGGAGCGAAAGCGUGGGUAGCGAAACAGGAUUAGAUACCCUGGUAGUCCACGCCGUAGACGUUGGGCGCUAGGUGUGGGCCUCAUUCCACGAGGUCCGUGCCGCAGCUAACGCAUUAAGCGCCCCGCCUGGGGAGUACGG